GCUGUUUUCAUCGGAGGAAUGUUGGAGGGUAUGGAGUUAUGUGACCCCUGAGCCAAGGAGAUGAGUAAGCAUACACCCUUUAGAAGACAUCUGAAGGCAGCCCUGUAUAGAGAAGGGUUUUUUUAUGUAAAUGCUUUAUUGUGUUUUUAUAUAUGUUGGAAGCUGGGACAACCCAGUCAGUUGGGGGGGGGGGAGAAGAAGAAGAAGAAGAAGAAGAAGAAGAAGAAGAAGAAGAAGAAGAAGAAGAAGAAGAAGAAUGGAAUAGGACAUCCCUAUUUUAAUCAGAGAAAUGAUGUUUGAGUGUAAUGGUUACAUGCACUGUUAAUGUCACCUGAGAAUGAGGAUGAAGAAUGCAGUGGGGAACUGAAGGAGGGCCAACUCGUGCUUAAUCAAUCUGGGAAGACAGGGGCUCUUUCGGUGGGUGUUUCUCAUGUCCAGAAAAUAUGCAAGUCACCUGCUCUGGAUGAGGUUGUGUACCCUUUAAAGAAAUAAUUGUGUAGUUCAUGUUUCUCACAAGAAACCCAUGUUUUCUCUUUGGCUAGGAGUGCCUUUUACAAGCUUUGCCUGGUCCAAAAGCUUCAGUCAUUCCUAAACAGGGACAGUCUGACCAUAAUAGACCUUGAGGCUGGAUUACUGCAAUGCACUCUAUAUGGGGCUGUAUUUUGGCCUAGCUCAGAAGCUCCAGCUGGUUCAGAACAGUGGCAUAGCAUGGGGGGCAUGGGGCAGUUGCCCUGGGCACAAAAUUGUUAGGGGGCGCAAAAUUUCAACACUCAGUGCUGCCUCAAUACAGCUGCAUGCUUCUGCCACUGGGCUCUAUUGAAAACAGAUUCUCCAUGCAAACCAGAAAGUGACCUCUCCAGAGAACGGAAUGACUCUUAUUUUCUUAUUUCUGUGGCUGCAAUCUCCUGGGUGACAUGGAUGUCAUUAGACAGUUGGAUGCUCAUGUGUACUCUGUCCAUUUCCCUCCCUCCAACCCACCCCCUCUGCACGGCCCCAGGCAUUGGCAGUCCAUGCUAUUCCACUGGUGCAGAAUGUAGCAGCUACACUGCUGAUGGGGGAACAAGGCCAACAGCAUAUUGCACUGGCUGCCCAUGUACUACUGAGCCAGUUUCAAUGUCCUUGUUUUAAUUUACAAAAGCCUGAACAAUUUAGGUUCAUGGUACCUUUGGGGCCACCUGAAGCCUUAAAUCCCAGUUUAGUCAUUGAGAUUAUUUGAAGAAGAGUUACUGGCUAGACUCAUUUGAAAGGAUUUUAAAUUUUAACUCACAAUCAUGGAAUGAUGAAACUUCCAGGUCAUGGAAUUUUUAGGAAACUAAGAUGGCAACUGCCAGGGGUCAUAGCAGGAGUAAAGCUUUGCUUUAAUUUUGGGAGAUCAGCCAUCACUCUAAUGUGUCAGUCAUUCUGGAGUGAUGAUUUAAAUUGGGUAAUUAUGUUAACAAUGAAUAAGUUCAACAUUUAUUUUCUGAGUAGGGAAGAGUGGAUUUCAGCCAAGUAAGAUUGCUUAGGGUCAGGCAUAUGUAUAUAUUUGUUGUGCUACAUCUUUCAAAGGUAUUUUAGUGCAAAAGGUUCUCUUCAGAUUCUGGAGGUGCACCAAGAUGUAGCAAGCCCCACUGAGAUCAGUGGUGGGGAUUUGUUAGCAAUUAUGCCAGUUUAAAUGUUACUAUAGCAAUCACCAUGGUAAUGUGUUUAAUUUGUUAUGCAGAGUCAUACACAAGCAUGAUACAGAGUUCACUCUAACCUCUAGCAACUUUAAAACAGAGCAUGCACAAUCCCUUGUCACCCUCACAGUCAGCUGACAAUGAAAACGAACCACAUUCUACUGCCUGUUGUUUAACUCUGCAGCAUGCUUUAGAGCUCAGCAUCUUGUCACUGCGGGAAGCCACUGAGCUGUUUCCCUAUAUUUUGCUGAACUGUUCUCUUGCUUUUCUAAUGAGGCUGGAAAAAAAUAAAACUCAGCCCACACUUUAUUAGAAGACAGCAAAAUCCCCCACAAAAAUACCAUUUAUUAAUUUGGAUGUUUCUAUCAUUUCAUUUUGUGGGCUCACUGCACGUUGUAAAAUGCUGUUAUGUCAUAAGCAUUCCGCUGAAGGAAAGAGGACUGAGGGAUGUUGACAUUCAAGAUCACCCAGUAGGUUGUGUUAGGUACAUGUGCUUUGCAAUGUUAUAUCUAACAUUGAAACAUCUGGGUUUUUUUAAAAGACUCUUUCUCCAUCUAUCUGGGCAUGAAUUAUACCCAGACAAUACCUCUUUAGUGAGAACUAGUAGCGGCAAACUUGGGGCUCUCAAAUUUCAGUGGUGCCCUGUGUGAUGCUGAAAUUCAGUCAUGUCCCUGCCCCCUCAUCCUCUUGCACUCCAUUGUUUUGGUGUCCCCUGUAGGGCAAUGCCCAGUGUGUAGUGGUUGCACAGGUGACAGUGCCCUAAAACCACCUCUGGAACUAGGCUUCAAUGCCAGAAUGUUCUUUUUCAAGAGCUCGCUAAUUUUCUAUUAAAUUCAGUAACUAAACAAUUAAAUGACACCUAUCAAGAUUGGAACUGACUUGCCUUUACUCCAAUAUGACUCUUCAGGAGAUGGACUUGGAGGAGUGGUUUUCCAUCCUAAUCCCUAAUCCCUUCAGAGCCAAGGCUACUGAUAGUGAAUGAGUAUGCUGAUAACCAGUGCAAUUUUUCUAGAAAAAGAGGUGCCAGAAUUGCCAUUAACACCUUCCUUGUUCUCUUAUAGACUGACACAGGUGGUGGUGUGGUCUAAACCACUGAGCCUAGGGCUUGCUGAUCGGAAGGUUGGAGGUUCAAAUCCCCACGAUGGGGUGAGCUCCCAUUGCUUAAUCCCAGCUCCUGCCAACCUAGCAGUUCGAAAGCACAUCAAAGUGCAAGUAGAAAAAUAGAUACCGCUCUGGCGGGAAGGUAAACGGCGUUUCCAUGCGCUGCUCUGGUUUCGCCAGAAGUGGCUUAGUCAUUGCUAGCCACAUGACCUGGAAAAACUGUCUGCGGACAAACAUCAGCUCCCUCGGCCAGUAAAGUGAGAUGAGUGCCGCAACCCCAGAGUCAUGUGCGACUGGACUUAACUGUCAGGGGUCCUUUACCUUUACCUUUUUGUUCUCUUAUAAUGACAAUGUGGCCCACCUGAGAGGUGCCAGAACUGAGUUCUGGUGAGUUUUGGCUGAAAAAAAGCCCUGCUGAUAACCCACUUGCUGCCUUCUAAGGUAGAGAAAGGGAAUUUGUCAUUGUGGGUUAGUCACUUAGACAGGAAUGACCAGCUGCACAAACAUAAGAUGGGGGACACCUGGCUUACCAGUAAUACAAGUGAGAAAGAUCUAGGCAUCUUAGCAGAGUACAAGUUUAACAUGAAUCAACAGUGUGAUGCAGCAGCAGCAGCAGCAGCAAAAAAAAAGGGGGGGUGGCUAAUGCUAUUCUAGGCUGCAUCAACAGAAGUCUGGUGUCCCAAUCAAGGGAAAUAAUAGUACUUCUCUAUUCUGCCUUGGUUAGAGUACUAUGUCCAGAUCUGGGCACCAGAACUUAAGAAGAAGCUGACCAAAAUGAGCACACUAAGAUGAGGGUGACCAAAAUGACCAAGGGUCUGGAAACCAAGUCUUAUCCUCAUAAGCCUCUUUUGCAGGCUAAACAUACCCAACUCCCUCAACCCUUCCUCAGCAUUUGAGGAAGUUAGGUUCCCAAAAAUCUUAAGAGCUGUCACAUGUAAGAUGGAGCAAACUUGUUUUCUCCUGUUCCACAGGCAAGGACCUGAAACAAUGGGUUCAAGUUACAAGAAGGGAGAUUCUAGCUAAACAUUGGGGGGGAAAUUUGACAGUGGACAAACUCCCUUAGAAGGUGGUAGUUUUUGGUAGUUUUAAGCAGACGUUGGAUGGUUGUCUGUCAUGGAUGCUUUAGUUGAGAUUCCUGCAUUGUAGUGGGUUGGACUAGCUGGCCCUCUGAGCCCGUUCCAACUCUACUAUUCGUCUAUGAUUCUGGGUGUAGCCUGCUGGCAAAUCAGGAGGGGUUGGGAAGGGGGAGGUAGUCAAUAUAGCUAGGAACCUAUUUUAUUCAGUGCUGACGAAAACCUUAGCUUCAAGAACUCAGUUUCCAUCAAGCCAUGCUAAAAGAAUAAUAAACAAGAAUAAAAAAGGAAAGAAUAAAAACUACUCCAUAGGACUGAGGAAAGGGGAUAAGCUUAUAGAGGACAGUGGUGCCCUAAAGACUCUCAAACAAAACAAAACAAAACAAAACAUUUUCUUGAGGCCCCUUAAAGAUUAAUUUAAGGGUUCCACUUGAAACUGUUGAUUUUGCUGCAACAGCUAUUUAAGAUAUAUACCAAAAAAACUAAGCUCUUAAGCAGAUUGAAUAGAGAUGCCUUGCAGAUGUGAGCCAAUCCUUUUACUGGCAGCAGUGAAUGGGCUAUAUUAUAAUGUACGGUAACUGAGUAGUAUUUUGUUUUGUUUGUCUAAAGUUACUCGUUUUGCAUUUCUAGACCACCUGUCUCAAAAUCUUGAGCAGAAAGCAGAAACACAUAAUGCAGUAAUGGUAUUUGGGGGGCAGGGACUGAUGGGAUAUUUGGCAGUGGCUGGCUCAGUUGCCCAAACUGGAUAGUUGCUCUUCCAUUGCCUGAACUGUGCAUACAUUAGAAGUUCUGCCUAUCCUUGGUUGAGGUUUUCAGUUCCUCAAAGCUCCCAAAAGAGGCUGAGGGAGGAAAAAAACCAAAUUGGCUCAUAAACAACAAGAGUAUCACCUCUUCUUCCUGCAUGUUUUUAUUUCCCUUGUAGAAAUGCUGCUUUUAUCCAAUGUGACAAGCCCUCUGACUCAUAAACAGCUUGUCUAAAGUACGAUAUUGAUACUCAGCAUUAUUUAAGGCAUUUUGGUGUUUCACAAACGCUGUAACCUUCUGUCUGCCAAAUGCUAAACAGAACCGCACAGAGGGGUGUGCAACAUUAUUUUCCACAACUGUCUGAUAUUAUGAGCAUCUCUCCAUGAAAUGGAUGGGGGUCACCUCCAGCAACAUUGUGACAUAUAAUUUAUCAGGCCUCAUGGUGGUGAUACUAAAUUUCUUUAUUCCUCAAUCCUUUAUGAAUGCUCAAAUGCUGUCUUGACCAGUUACAGUUGCAGACCGCCAGUAAAUCUGAGGACAACCAGCUAAAAACAUCAGCAUAAAAUUGGCAAAUCAGAUCAGUGGUUUAGGAAUCCUGGGAAAAAGCAUAGAUCCCUGAAGACUGUCAGACUGAUCACUUUUAUACUGAGAACUAUAACAACAAAAUAACCUAUGUGCAUUCUAAAAGUAUUAUGAUGCCAAAAUAAUAACAGAUGGAAGCAGAUCAAUUUAAAAUGGAGAAAAACACAAUAACACUGGGGUGGCAGAUCAUUUAAAUUAAAAAGGCAGGUGCUUAACUCUCCCUUUGAACAAUUUGACUGGGCCACACUCAAUAUAAUAUAAGUACAUGUUGGCUUUAAUGUGAGUUGAAAAGAGCUUGUGCAUAAAAAACUGGUUGUUGGCUACAUUUGAGACAACAUUUGAGUGUGCGCAAGUUUAGAGCAAAGACAUGAUUUUGCACAUUGCCUUGUCAGUGUGAAUAAUCUCCAAGCAAUGCUGUAGGCAUAGCUGUCAAGUGUCCCUUAUUUGAAGGGACAGUCCUUUAUUCCAGCGCCAUGUCCCGCUGCUGUCCCUUAUUGAUGGAUGUCCCUUAAAUGUCCCUUAAAUGAUGUCCCUUAAAUUUCAAAGGAAGCAGCUCCUCUCCCUCCCUCCCUGCCGGCCAGGGAGGAGGGAGGCUCCAACUGUGUUGCUUGGCUGUGUUGCUCACCCAAUAAGGAGUCUAAGAACGACUGGGGGGGUGGAGCUUGCAUGCCUUGUGUGUGGCUAGUUAAUGCAAGCUGAGGAGGUUUUUGAAUGCUGGACACCAUUUUGUUGCACGUGCUGCUGCAAACUUUGCAGUGCAAAGCCAGGCCGGGGAGCCUUAAGUUGAGGCUGCAUAGGCCUUGUGGUGCAUGUGAUUCAGAUUCUAUUCAGUUGAACCUCUGGUUACAAAGUUGGUUGGACAGUGUUCUCGAAGCUGCCCAGCAUGAGUUUGACCAGACUGCAGGAGGACAGGAAGACUGGAGUGCCUGGAACAGGUGAGGCUGCAGGUCCCUUAUUUUGGCUGCUGGUCCCUUAUUUUCAAGGCUGCUGGUCCCUUAUUUUCAAAUCUGUUAGUUGACAGCUAUGGCUGUAGGAUAUAUGCACUGACCAGCACAUGUGCAAAAUGUCCUGACAGACAAUAUGCACAGUGACCGUGCAAUGCAAGAAUAACCUUAUUCAUCUGUCAGAUUGUGUAUCUUUCCUAAACAUUACAUGGGGACUAUGCAUCCUGACUGGCAAAAUGCAAAACCCUCCAUUGAUGCUGUUAAUUUGUGCACAUUCCCUGCAAUUCCCAGUGAAUGUACAGGAUGGCUGGUAUUUUUGCACAUUCUCUAUUCAUCAUCAUCAUCAUCAUUUUUCUUGUACUAGCCAUUGGCCGUGGUACCUUUAGUACACAAUCUGAAAAUUACUAAUAUAUAGAGAAGACAAUAGAAGUAAACAGUACAAUACAUUAAAGAAUAAACAAUAAGAUGAUUAUAUGAAACAUGUAAUAGGUAAAGGUAAAGGUACCCCUGCCUGUACGGGCCAGUUGUGUCCAACUCUAGGGUUGUGCGCCCAUCUCACUUAAGAGGCCGAGGGCCAGCGCUGUCCGGAGACACUUCCGGGUCACAUGGCCAGCGUGACAAAGCUGCUCUGGCGAGCCGGCACCAGUGCAGCACACGGAAACGCCGUUUACCUUCCUGCUGUAAAGCGGUACCUAUUUAUCUACUUGCACUUAAGGGUGCUUUCGAACUGCUAGGUGGGCAGGAGCUGGGACCGAAAGACGGGAGCUCACCCCGCCGCCGGGAUUCGAACCGCCGACCAUGCGAUCGGCAAGCCCUAGGCGCUGAGGUUUUACCCACAGCGCCACCCGCGUGUAAUACCAUGGAGUAAAACCCAAUUUAAAGUAAAAUUAAACUGAGCACACUCUUAAAACUUCCUACUUUGCACUAGUUCACUUCUGCUUGGAGUUACUUUGUCCCUAAAGCAUGCAGUACUAGUGUCCACCUCUGGAGGUGCACUCCAUUGUCUCUUAAGACAGAAGGAUGUGAACAACCAGUCUAUGAAUAAACAUAUUUUAAGACAAAUAGAUAAUUUCUUGGUCAGAAUAGGUUGGUAACUAGAAAAAAAUAUAUAUUUCUCAAGCAUUUUUCCCUUGGGACAUCAUACAAAGAACAUUGCAGUACAAAGUGGGUUGCAUUCUCCAACUGUUUUAAAUUACAGAUGCAAAUCCUUUGGGAAACCAGUAUCUGUCUGUAUCUGCUGUUCAACAUGGCAGUAGGAAUAGUUCUAAGAAAUUCCUCCAGAGGGAAAACACUGUGUCUUCUCCUAGAUAAUAGAUGUUUGUUGCUUCUUUUGUCUUCUUUGAGCUGGGGUGUNNNNNNNNNNNNNNNNNNNNNNNNNNNNNNNNNNNNNNNNNNNNNNNNNNNNNNNNNNNNNNNNNNNNNNNNNNNNNNNNNNNNNNNNNNNNNNNNNNNNNNNNNNNNNNNNNNNNNNNNNNNNNNNNNNNNNNNNNNNNNNNNNNNNNNNNNNNNNNNNNNNNNNNNNNNNNNNNNNNNNNNNNNNNNNNNNNNNNNNNUGGGAAAUAAUACCAUUGGGGAAAUUUAGAUUGUUGUAACAACCUCAUGUCUUCUGAUGCAUAUAAUCUGUCCCUGAGUCUAAGUGGGCUUGGAAUGUGUAUGUGUGUAUGUCCUUCAUCACACUAGUGAGAUCAAGAUGGAGAAACUGAGAUGGAACUUUUCAUGUCUUGAUCCUUAGCUUUGCUAGGGGCUGGUAACAAAUUUAACAUCCCUUUUCCUUAGCCCAUCCAUUCUGUCCUUAAAAGCGAGUAUUUUCCAUUACAUUUCUCCCACAGCCAUGAAAUAAGUGCACCUGAGAAGAACACUGAUGUGAGAGCAGUUUGAUGGUCUGUUCCUGAAAGCAAGGAUCCAGCAUAAAUGGGGAAUAAUGUCUGUCUGCAGAGAAAGUGAAAAACAAACUGAAUCUGGGUCCCAUUUAUAGUCCCUUCCUCCAUAUAUAAGCCCUCCAUAUACAAGUCGUCGUUCCACAUUCACCUACUUACCAACAUUUUGCUAGUAAUGAAGAAUAUGUGGAAUAUCCAGCUUCAUAUAACCAGCAUUGCUUGGAGGGGUUAAUACCAUAGAGUAAGCUGUUCUGCCUGGCUUAGCUAGGUCACUCCCCCUCACCUUGGUAGGAAGAGUCAUCAAGCCUUUGUUCUUCCAAUUCAGC
rnacentral:lncRNA from 1 species